rnacentral:lncRNA from 1 species
CAGCAGAAGGACUUGGGAAAAUGGGGCCACUGUGUGUGCUCAUCCCUGUGGCCCCAGGUAAGGUACUCAUGGUGGCCUUGAUCCCUGAAGCUUGCCUUGCCCAAGGAAGGCUCUGGAGCCGUGCCCAGCCCUUCCUGAGUCUGGGGUCCUGGCUGCUCUUCCUGUGAAUGGUAAUUAUGACCACUCGGGAGGCAGAGGAAAGAAGUCAGUUGGCUCUAGAGUCAAGUCCUGCCUCUCCUGUCCAUCCCUUUGUGCAAGGGCUAAAUUCCUUAGCCUCUUGGAGCACUGUGUCCUUGUCUUUAAGAUAGAAGCAGUUCUACAUUCUCAUUUUAGUUUUUCCUUUUUUUUUUUUGUAGUUGAACCCAAUAUCUUUAUUCAAUUUAUUUAUUUAUAUGUGGUGCUGAGGACAGAACCCAGGGCUUUGCAUGUGCUAGGCAAGAGCUCUAUAGCUGAGCCACAACCCCCAGCCCAGUUUUUUCCUUCCUUAAGCCAUUGGGCCUCAAUAAUAGUGGGUCAUUGGACUAAAGACCUCAAAAACCAGCCUUCCCUAUGGUUUUGCAGUGCGUAGGAAGCUGAACUCCAUGACCUCUAAGUUGCCCGCCAAUGUGGGAACCAUAGAUCAGUGUCAAGGACAAAAUAGUGCAGCCCUUAGGGCCCUCUGGAGACUCUGCUGGACCCCACUUUUAAAACCACCGCUUAAGCAUUUGCUCCUUUUAACCUUGGCCACACAUUCUGGCCAUUGGCUUUGGGGGCCCUGAGAAGGGGAGGCCCUUGACUUUGUUUCUCAUUGGAGGGUCCCUUGAAGUGUUUAUUUUGGCUUAAUCGUUGUUCCUGUUCCUUCUCCCAAAUGGAGAGUUUUUACUUGCGUUCGUGGGAUAUUCCACAGACCAGAGCUUGCUGUUCAAGGGCCCCAUUUGUUCUAAGGUAAGGUUGUGCUCCCUGCGUCCAAGUGACUGGUACAUAAGCAAAGCCUGGAUCCAUUUGUAGAGCUUAGCCGGGCCUCUGUGCUGGAGGAGAGAGAAGAGUGGAGGGUAAAAGCAGACUGGCUUUGGAACCAGACAGUGGUCAUUUAAAAUCCAGGUUCCGGCAUUCACGGCUGAGGUAGUUUGGAGGUGUGAGGUCUUAGUUUCCCUAUCUGUGAAAUGGGAGUCAGAGAUCAUUGCGAAGAUGCAAUGACAUGGCAUUUAAAGUGCUUGGUGCUUGGAACGCUUAACUUACCGCCCACUAUGCAAUAGGCAUUGUUCUGGGGGCCCCUUGAAGCUCUGGGUCCUGGAGAGAAAUAGACCAGUGAACAAGCAGAUGCCUGUGCCCUUGCUUUGGGGUUUUCUGGCUUGUCCUGUGCUUUCACACACACCCUGGGGUUUGAUCAGCACCACCCUCCUAGGUGACGGGUGUGACAGGUGGGAUUGUGUCCACAUUGGAGGAGGAUGUUGAGUCUUGACGAGGAGGGGUGACUUAGCCAUGGUCUCAUUGCUAGGCUAGUCUCUGGAAUCCCUUCUUCUGAAUCUUUGCUACAAAACCCAGUAGCAUCAGUGUCACCUGAAACAGGUAAAAAUACCAUCUCAGUUCCCACCCCAGAUCUUCUGAUUCAGAAUGUGCAUUUUAAGAAGGCUGCUUUGGGCAAUUCAUGUGCACAUUAAAAUUGGAGGAGUGUGGCUUUAGACCAAACACACCCCCUCUUGCUGGGGGUAGAAUGGUGACCUGUUCCUAAACCAGUUAUCAGCUCUGUGACAUUGGGCACGUUAGGUUCUCUCUCCAUGCUUCAGGGUCCUUCAGUCCAGGAUGGUUAGUAAGAGCCCCCACCUUGAACUGACUGUAUCUUGGGUUGAAUGAGGUGGGUCUUCAGAACCAACCUCCAUGACGCUGGCCCCAGGCCAGGCAGUGUUCUCAGGGUUCCUAUGAGCAUAGACUUGUGCUGGCACCCAGGCAACCUCGGCCCAUGUUCACCUUUUCCUUAGCUCCUAGGACUUGAGAAAGAGGCUUGACAGAUUUUGUCCAAAGAAGGGGAUGGUGAUUUCACAGUGCUCUGUAGCUUAGUGACUGCCUCCUCCAACCCCAGCUGAACAGAUUCUCAAGUGCAAGGUUUCACAUGAAAGUUUCUCAAGCUUUGAUUUAAUCAUGAAAUUGGCCUCUGAAACCACAUACUCAUCAGAUAUUGUGAAAUGUUCUAGGAAGCUCCUUUUCAGUUAAAAAAAUUCUAUGAUCCCCAUGUAGUUUAUAGACUGAGCCAUCCAAGCUGAGUAAUCAUGUAAAAUUAGAGGAUGCCAGAGCUGUCAAAAUUCCCAGUCUUCUCUUUCUGAACAUGAGAAAACUGGGGCUCAGGGAGGUCAAGUGGCUUGCCAAGGUCACCCAAGUGGUAGAUGGCAGAAACAACUAGAUGCGGGGGCUUCUCAUUCUUAGCCCGGUGUUUCCCAUUACAGAUACGUGUAUGUUUUUUCAUUCAUUCGUUCAACAAGGAUUUCUUAAGGGCUUGCACUGUGUCAGGUGCUGUUUAGAAGCUAGGGAUAUAGUAGUGAGCAGCAUAGCAAGGUACCUGUCCUCUGGAGCUGACAUCUUGGUAGGAUGGUGGGGAACAGUGACAAGAAAGCAAAGAACAAGACAAUUUCAGAUGCUGAUUAGCAUAUGGAAGACAAAAAGAGUUCACGUGGUCAGAAUGAUUAUCCAGGGUUGGGGAUCCUUGGACAGGACAGCCAGAGAAAUCCUCUCUGAGAUGAUGCACUUGAGAUGAGCCAUGAAUGCAGGCAUGGGGAUCAGAAGCUUCCAGCAAGAGCCAACCUGCUCCCACCUCUGGGCUCCCAUUCCUGAUACCAGCUGUGGCAGUUGGUUUCUGCAAACACAGCCUCAGAGAUGGACCUUGGUGUAGGUUCAGGAUGUUUGCUGGGACAUGAAGGAAACAGAGUUGGGAAGAGGGCACAGGUGGGCUGUGACUCAACUUCCACAAGAACCUGAAUCAGUUCUGCAGAGUUGUGGGGCUGAAGCAGCUCUUGGCCACACCGAGCAAAGGGACGAGCCUUUGUCUUCAUGCUGCUGAUCAAUCACUGGAUACUGACAGCAUGUGGUCUCGGGAAGAACUGUGGUCUCCGCUAAUGCAGCUGACUUAGGUGAAGCCACUUCCUGGGGAGGACUCAAGUGUGAGCUGUCGGCUGGCCUCAUUUUCCACAGCUGGAGGAAAGAGAGGAAGGGGCUGUGGGCAGCAUCCUGUCUCCACCCCCACCUUCACCAGGGCCCCAAAGACUCAUUGCUGGCAGGACUAUCCCGCUGAAGGAAGCAUCUUUAUCUUGAUUUAGGUUUGCCUUGUCUGAAUGUUCAUUUAUUGGUUAUGUCAUUAUUGAUAUUUGCCAAGUUCCUAUUCAUGGGUUGGGUAUUGGAGAAAUGCAUUAGGCAAGUUUCCCAUCCUGGAGUUCAUCGGCCUUCGAGGGGAGACACGACUAGACAGAGAGACAGUUGAAGAGGUAUUUCCAUGCAACACUUCUAGCCAAUAAAUUGUAUCAAAAUACAUAUGUGAUAGACACUGUGGUCACUUCAACAUUCCAACCCAGUAACUUACUAACUCUUAAGGUCAGUAAGAGUUUUAUACCUGAAUACACUCAUCUUUACCUAAUGGACAAGUCACAGAACUUAUUAAACCCACUUGAUUAGCUUUUGGGAGAAGGAAGGAGUAAAGGAAGAGAUAAAUUGUGCUGCAUUCCCCAAUAACAGCAGCAACAAUAAUAAUCACAGCUAAUAGUUAUUGGGCCUUUAUUGUGUUUCCUGAAAACUGUCAGUCAACUCAUUCAGGCCUCCCAGCAGCUCUACAAAACACAUACUAUUGUUAUUCCAUUUUACAGAGGAGGAAACUACAAGACAUUUCAGAAUUCCUGAAUCUUUUUAAAAAAUUAGGAACAAAAAGACAUGUUCUGCACUGUGAUUUUCUUCUAUAAGAAUAAUUUAAUUACCAGAGUACUUAUAGUAAUUAUCUAGAGCUGUGGCCUCCAACAGUCUAUAGCCUUGGAUGCCUUCUUCAAACCAAGCCCAGAAUUCACCCAAACAUGAAAACUGCUGCUCUGGUUGGAUGAGAAGGGAGAAUGAGCCUGACCCAGCCCAUUUCUUACUUGUUCAUUAUAGAAUAUUUGAAAAAGAUAUGCAUUUAUGAAGAAAAAGAAAACUAGUUAUUCUACCACUUAGCAACAGUCACUGUUAAUGUUUUGAUAUAUUUCCUUUCAGUCUUUUCUCCUUCUCCCCUCCCUCCUUCCCUUCCC